AAGGAAGAAGCUCCAGGGACGUGGGACAAUGGCCGAGAAAAGUAGCGCGAGCUGUCGGGGGAAAUCGGAGGGAAGGGACUGCGUGCGCACCUGACUGCGUCCUGGGGCAGGGGGCCGAGGGCAGCGCGUGCUUUACCCUUUUAAAGGUUCACCGCAUUUCCCGCCCAAGUUUAAGCAAGGCGAGAGAAAAAACCAAAUAUACAUUCAUGUGUGUAUAUACACUUUUGUGUCGACAGUUUUAUUUCUGGGAACCCAAUUUGAAGGAAUUUUGUUGAUUUUAUUGCCGUUUAAACAAGAGUAGAGAAGCCCACCAUCUGAAUGCAGCGUUGGCUAAAGGUCAGCGGGAGACCCUGUCCUGGCCCCAUCAGUUAGCAGUCUCCACUGCAGACUGGGUGGAAAGGCAAAAGGUCGUGGAAAACGUGAAGGCACACGAAGUCCGGGAUUCAAAACAGCAGACAUUAACCAUGGCACUAGAUGGUUGAGUGACAUGGUCACCAGGCCAGGUGGGUCAGAAAGGGAGCUUAGCCAAGGCUGGAGAGGGGUGCGGGGGUGGGGAGGGGGGGAGGAUCUCCUGACUCCUACCCUUGCAGGCUUGUCUUGCAAUGGCGAUCAGCUCCGAGGUUCCUAAAAAGAGAGAGCCAUCAAACCAGACGCCAGGUUUCUCCAAUAUGCUUUUCACUUUCUGUUUCUCCUUUCUUUCCACCUUUCCAAUAAAAGCCACCUAGUAAAGGACACAAGGAAGAGUGAAUCCACUUUCUGUUUCUCCUUUCUUUCCACCUUUCCAAUAAAAGACGCCUAGUAAAGAAGGACACAAGAAUGAAUGAAGGAAUCAAUUUUAAAAAGCUGCUUUGAUGUUCCAAAUUUGCUUAAAUUGACUGGAUGCAGAAGAGAAAUAUGUGGCUUUAGCAAGUGUCUCUUUGACCUGCAAAUGUCAGAGAUGGUUUUUUGUUUUUUGUGUUUUUCAGACUCCACAUCAGCACUUUUGCGUGUCUGAAGAUGAUUGAGAAGUAAGAGUGGGUUGCUGGGAGGUGCAAAUUCUCAGGGUAGUAACGUCAGGUUUUCUAUUAAAGGGGGCCUCCUAAUGCCCUAGUGUGGGGUGAUGGAUCAUUGGCUGGGGACCAGGACUAGGCCUCUGGAUGGGCCUCUGCUCCUUAAGGAUGGGUCAAAGCCCAAUGCUGGGAUCACUCUGAUUUAAAAAGAGCAUGAAAGA
rnacentral:lncRNA from 1 species